rnacentral:rRNA from 1 species
AUUGAACGCUGGCGGCAUGCCUUACACAUGCAAGUCGAACGGCAGCACGGGAGCAAUCCUGGUGGCGAGUGGCGAACGGGUGAGUAAAGUAUCGGAACGUGCCCAGUCGUGGGGGAUAACGUAGCGAAAGUUACGCUAAUACCGCAUACGAUCUAUGGAUGAAAGCGGGGGAUCGCAAGACCUCGCGCGAUUGGAGCGGCCGAUAUCAGAUUAGGUAGUUGGUGGGGUAAAGGCUCACCAAGCCGACGAUCUGUAGCUGGUCUGAGAGGACGACCAGCCACACUGGGACUGAGACACGGCCCAGACUCCUACGGGAGGCAGCAGUGGGGAAUUUUGGACAAUGGGCGCAAGCCUGAUCCAGCCAUGCCGCGUGCAGGAUGAAGGCCUUCGGGUUGUAAACUGCUUUUGUACGGAACGAAAAGGUUUGGCUUAAUACGUUGAACUCAUGACGGUACCGUAAGAAUAAGCACCGGCUAGCUACGUGCCAGCCGCCGCUGUAA